GCUUAACCGGAGAAGUGCAUCGGAAACUGGGAGACUUGAGUGUAGAAGAGGACAGUGGAACUCCAUGUGUAGCGGUGAAAUGGGUAGAUAUAUGGAAGAACACCAGUGGCGAAGGCGGCUGUCUGGUCUGUAACUGACGCUGAGGCUCGAAAGCAUGGGUAGCGAACAGGAUUAGAUACCCUGGUAGUCCAUGCCGUAAACGAUGAAUACUAGGUGUUGGAGGGUUUCCGCCCUUCAGUGCCGCAGCUAACGCAUUAAGUAUUCCGCCUGGGGAGUACGACCGCAAGGUUGAAACUCAAAGGAAUUGACGGGGGCCCGCACAAGCGGUGGAGCAUGUGGUUUAAUUCGAAGCUACGCGAAGAACCUUACCAGGUCUUGACAUACUGUGCUAACCUAAGAGAUUAGGUGUUCCCUUCGGGGACGCAGAUACAGGUGGUGCAUGGCUGUCGUCAGCUCGUGUCGUGAGAUGUUGGGUUAAGUCCCGCAACGAGCGCAACCCUUAUUGUCAGUUGCCAGCAUUCAGUUGGGCACUCUGGCGAGACUGCCGGUGACAAACCGGAGGAAGGUGGGGAUGACGUCAAGUCAUCAUGCCCCUUAUGACCUGGGCUACACACGUGCUACAAUGGAUGGUACAACG
rnacentral:rRNA from 1 species